rnacentral:rRNA from 1 species
GGGUUGUGAGGUUAAGCGACUAAGCGUACACGGUGGAUGCCCUGGCAGUCAGAGGCGAUGAAGGGCGUGCUAAUCUGCGAUAAGCGCCGGUAAGGUGAUAUGAACCGUUAUAACCGGCGAUACCCGAAUGGGGAAACCCAGUGUGAUUCGUCACACUAUCAUUAACUGAAUCCAUAGGUUAAUGAGGCGAACCGGGGGAACUGAAACAUCUAAGUACCCCGAGGAAAAGAAAUCAACCGAGAUUCCCCCAGUAGCGGCGAGCGAACGGGGAGGAGCCCAGAGCCUGAAUCAGCAUGUGUGUUAGUGGAAGCGUCUGGAAAGGCGCGCGAUACAGGGUGACAGCCCCGUACACAAAAGCGCAUGUGCUGUGAGCUCGAUGAGUAGGGCGGGACACGUGGUAUCCUGUCUGAAUAUGGGGGGACCAUCCUCCAAGGCUAAAUACUCCUGACUGACCGAUAGUGAACCAGUACCGUGAGGGAAAGGCGAAAAGAACCCCGGCGAGGGGAGUGAAAAAGAACCUGAAACCGUGUACGUACAAGCAGUGGGAGCNNNNNGGGCGUUAAGUUGCAGGGUAUAGACCCGAAACCCGGUGAUCUAGCCAUGGGCAGGUUGAAGGUUGGGUAACACUAACUGGAGGACCGAACCGACUAAUGUUGAAAAAUUAGCGGAUGACCUGUGGCUGGGGGUGAAAGGCCAAUCAAACCGGGAGAUAGCUGGUUCUCCCCGAAAGCUAUUUAGGUAGCGCCUCGUGAAUUCAUCUCCGGGGGUAGAGCACUGUUUCGGCUAGGGGGCCAUCCCGGCUUACCAACCCGAUGCAAACUGCGAAUACCGGAGAAUGUUAUCACGGGAGACACACGGCGGGUGCUAACGUCCGUCGUGAAGAGGGAAACAACCCAGACCGCCAGCUAAGGUCCCAAAGUCAUGGUUAAGUGGGAAACGAUGUGGGAAGGCCCAGACAGCCAGGAUGUUGGCUUAGAAGCAGCCAUCAUUUAAAGAAAGCGUAAUAGCUCACUGGUCGAGUCGGCCUGCGCGGAAGAUGUAACGGGGCUAAACCAUGCACCGAAGCUGCGGCAGCGANNUGCUGGAGGUAUCAGAAGUGCGAAUGCUGACAUAAGUAACGAUAAAGCGGGUGAAAAGCCCGCUCGCCGGAAGACCAAGGGUUCCUGUCCAACGUUAAUCGGGGCAGGGUGAGUCGACCCCUAAGGCGAGGCCGAAAGGCGUAGUCGAUGGGAAACGGGUUAAUAUUCCCGUACUUGGUGUUACUGCGAAGGGGGGACGGAGAAGGCUAUGUUGGCCGGGCGACGGUUGUCCCGGUUUAAGCGUGUAGGUGUGUGUUCCAGGUAAAUCCGGUUCACUUUAACACUGAGGCGUGACGACGAGGCACUACGGUGCUGAAGCAACAAAUGCCCUGCUUCCAGGAAAAGCCUCUAAGCAUCAGGUAACAUCAAAUCGUACCCCAAACCGACACAGGUGGUCAGGUAGAGAAUACCAAGGCGCUUGAGAGAACUCGGGUGAAGGAACUAGGCAAAAUGGUGCCGUAACUUCGGGAGAAGGCACGCUGACACGUAGGUGAAGUGAUUUACUCAUGGAGCUGAAGUCAGUCGAAGAUACCAGCUGGCUGCAACUGUUUAUUAAAAACACAGCACUGUGCAAACACGAAAGUGGACGUAUACGGUGUGACGCCUGCCCGGUGCCGGAAGGUUAAUUGAUGGGGUCAGCGCAAGCGAAGCUCCUGAUCGAAGCCCCGGUAAACGGCGGCCGUAACUAUAACGGUCCUAAGGUAGCGAAAUUCCUUGUCGGGUAAGUUCCGACCUGCACGAAUGGCGUAAUGAUGGCCAGGCUGUCUCCACCCGAGACUCAGUGAAAUUGAACUCGCUGUGAAGAUGCAGUGUACCCGCGGCAAGACGGAAAGACCCCGUGAACCUUUACUAUAGCUUGACACUGAACAUUGAGCCUUGAUGUGUAGGAUAGGUGGGAGGCUUUGAAGUGUGGACGCCAGUCUGCAUGGAGCCGACCUUGAAAUACCACCCUUUAAUGUUUGAUGUUCUAACGUGGACCCGUAAUCCGGGUUGCGGACAGUGUCUGGUGGGUAGUUUGACUGGGGCGGUCUCCUCCUAAAGAGUAACGGAGGAGCACGAAGGUUGGCUAAUCCUGGUCGGACAUCAGGAGGUUAGUGCAAUGGCAUAAGCCAGCUUGACUGCGAGCGUGACGGCGCGAGCAGGUGCGAAAGCAGGUCAUAGUGAUCCGGUGGUUCUGAAUGGAAGGGCCAUCGCUCAACGGAUAAAAGGUACUCCGGGGAUAACAGGCUGAUACCGCCCAAGAGUUCAUAUCGACGGCGGUGUUUGGCACCUCGAUGUCGGCUCAUCACAUCCUGGGGCUGAAGUAGGUCCCAAGGGUAUGGCUGUUCGCCAUUUAAAGUGGUACGCGAGCUGGGUUUAGAACGUCGUGAGACAGUUCGGUCCCUAUCUGCCGUGGGCGCUGGAGAACUGAGGGGGGCUGCUCCUAGUACGAGAGGACCGGAGUGGACGCAUCACUGGUGUUCGGGUUGUCAUGCCAAUGGCACUGCCCGGUAGCUAAAUGCGGAAGAGAUAAGUGCUGAAAGCAUCUAAGCACGAAACUUGCCCCGAGAUGAGUUCUCCCUGAGACUUAGAGUCUCCUGAAGGAACGUUGAAGACGACGACGUUGAUAGGCCGGGUGUGUAAGCGCAG